GGCCUCUGCCGAGGUUGGUGUGUCCUGCGGAGCUCCGAGCACGUGCGGUGGCCAGCUGCCAGUUUGAGGCGAUGUCUGCCCUGGUAAGUACAGUUCGGCUAGUUCCGGUUUGCCCCAGCUGUAGGCAGCUACCUAGGUUUCCUUGUACCUAGGCAAGUGUUACACUGCUGGGAGAACAGCAGCCAAUAGCUGGUUGGCAUUCUGGGCCUGGUUCAUGCCACCUCUGUUGUUAACUAUACCAGGAUGUCAGCAUAGUUGCUUACCCAGGAAGAGAAGCGCAAGCUCUGCAGGAAGAAAACUGAAGUCCAGAUCUUCCGACAUGGAGGUUACUUAAAUCACAACUUGGAAAUGGAACUGAGUAAAAGCCACUGAGGGAAAUAAAUAGGAAAAAAAAAAGCCAAGAUUUAGUGCCUGUAAAUGGUUGGGAGCGGACCUGAGGCAGUGGAGGGAGUUACUAGACUGCACGUACACUAAAAAUAGGAUGUUUCCUCGCUCCACAAUAAUAAAAGCUAAGUCAUGAUCCCCCUUUAGUGAGCUCCCUGUUGGGAAUAUUGAGUCUGGUGUUGUAGUAUGCAGGGCCCCUUCAGACCGUCCAGGCAACCUAGAUGCCCAAUCUCUAUUACUAUUCUGCUCUCUAGCUCGUCAAUAAAUUUAUGCAUAUUAAUUGACCAUGGGGUUCUGGGAACUAGCUUAGGUCAAACAGUACAAUGAGCAGUUAGGCUCCCCCUUUUCUGUUAUUCAUGAUGAUUUUCUAAGAAAUGCCUCAAUUUUAGGCAAGUAGUGAUCACUGAAUGAAUCUGGUGUUUAAUAGAGCCAACAUAGUUAGCUUUUGUGAGAGCAUCCUGGUUUCCACAGGGAGACAUAACCUUUACCUCCCUCAUAUCCUGAAGGGUUGGUGGCAGCCCCCACCUGUGUCCUUCCGUUUUCCCUGUGGACAUGGGUGCUAACCAGGCUGCCUUACUUAACACCUACCUCGGCGACCCAACAGGACGCCCCGGGACUUGAGUAGCUCAGGGAUAGUUGUAGCUGAGCUAUACACAGGCUUCCUUAACCAGUUCCAGAAGUCUCUUACCUGACCCCCUGAAUGUUUUUGGGGGUGAAAGCGCUUGCCAGGCCCACCAAGCACCCUAGGUUGAGCAUCUGCUGACAUUCCCAUCAGUAGCCUCUACAUUGCUCACCUUAGCUUCAUCAUUGCCCUCCCAUGUACAUCAAUAUCCCUUUUGCUCCUCAGUGUAGUACCUAACGCCCGCACCCCCUAACCAGUCAAGUUCUUACAGGAAAGUUACUAUCCCAUAUUACCCACUCCUAGUUCUACCACUCUAUCUACCUGCUCUUUGAUUGAAGCCCAUAAUUACUUUACUACUGUUCCUUAAUGGCACCAGCUUAGCCCUAAAAAUACCCUCCAAUAGGUCACUGAGCCUGCCAUACCUUUGCGCAUCCUUCUGAUGCACUAGUGUUAACAUAACUUUCCAGGUUAACAUAAUUCUUGCCUUCCUGUCCAUCAAAUUCUUUUAAAAAAAAAUUUCAGCCAGGGCGAUACAGAGAAACCCUGUCUCAAAAAGCCAAAAAAAAAAAAAUUAUAUAUGU
ensembl:processed_transcript Snhg4 small nucleolar RNA host gene 4